rnacentral:tRNA from 1 species
GCGGGCGUAGCUCAGCGGUAGAGCGCCUGCUUGCCAUGCAGGAGGUCGCGGGUUCGACUCCCGUCGCCCGCUCCA